CCAGGGGUGAAAACCUUCCAUUUCUUCUGCCAUUGAUCAUCGGGUUGAUUUGUGGAAUUUUACUGAUUACUCUCCUGCUGCUGUUGUGUUGGUACAGAAAGUCAAUAGAUGAAUCCAGUGAUGUCAUAUACUCUUCGAUUCAGCUUAAAAACAUUAGAAAGAAGGGAAACUCAUCUCCUGCUGAAAUGGAAGAAACUGUUUAUUCUGAAGUCAAAUUAGGAACAGCUCGUGGUAAUAAUGCUGCCAUGUAGUGUGUAUGUUGAGAAUUAUGUUUUUUUUAGCUACAUUUUAAAUAUCCUUUUAUCUCUGCUUUGUCUAUUUUUUUUCUCCAGGUCCAUGAAAAGACACGUAUUACUUUUCAUAUAUUAUGAACUUCCCUUUGUCUUUGUUUGUCCUUUAAACAUUCAUUGAUACUGUAUGUUUUUUUUAUUUUAUUUGCAAUUUGAAAAUCUUCCUCUUUAUUUCUUUUAUAUAAUAAACUUUUUUUUUUGCAGCAAGGCUCGAGUCCUGUUUUUAAUUGCUUUUAUUUAAAGUUAAUGUAAUUACUCUACACAGAUUUGUGCCUCAGAGUUACCAAACAGCUGAACGGCUGGGAAAUCAAAUGGACAGUGAACCUUACAAUUAAUUAUUAAAUCUUUGCAAGUGUUUGCUUUCCUCAGAGUCCAAAUAUAACAUUGGCUGAAGGGUUGAAUGCUGUACCCUAAUUUCAUAAACUUUAUGCCAUGU